UUAAAUUAUGUGACCUUUUUUUUAAGAAGUUAAAUUAUGUGACCUUGUUGAAGAGUAAACUAGCUUUCUGCAAAUCUAUGUAAGCCUUAAAUUAAAUUUGUUUCAUCUAUCUAUAACAGAUUGCAAUUGGUACCGAUGAUGUAUACAAGAGCGCUGAGGUAGUCAACCUAGUCGCACAAGAGGUUGGAGGGAAGAUCACUACAAAACCAGGGCCAGUUUCUGGCAUUGGCACCAAAAUUGUUGCCUUUUUAGACCCAGAUGGAUGGAAAACUGUGUUGGUUGACAAUGAAGAUUUCCUGAAGGAAUUGGAGUGAAGAGUGAGCAAACAAGAAAUAAGUAGCAGUCCUAGGUAGUGGCACUAGGGUAGUGCUUAUGUAUGAAUAAAUAGUACUCUAGCAAUAUUGAUCGGUGAUCAUAUUAUGUUUAUCAGUGUGUGUGUUUAGUUUCAUAUGGUUCUGUAAUCUAUUUUAAUGCACACUUAAUAUCCCUUUUGUAUGCUAUCAACUACUAUUAAUCUUCUGAUUU